rnacentral:lncRNA from 1 species
UCUACACCAGAAAGUUCUGCACCUCCCCCACCACCACCAGUGGUACAACCAGAAGCCCCAGUUAUCCAAACACCUCAACCUGGCCCAUCUGUGAGGAGCAAGGUAAAGAUGACUGAUUACCUAAAGUUAGAUGCUCCUAAGUAUCAAUCAGGAGAUGAUCCAUUUGAGUACAUUAAAGCAGUCAAGAUGAUAGCAGAUGAGCUAGGGGCAGAUGAUACCAGAGCCAUUCAGAUGGCAGGGUUCACUUUAAAAUGUAAGAAGGCGAAGGAAUGGUUUGGCGUCUAUGUGGACCCUAGGUUGGAUAACAUGUCUUGGGAGGAGUUUGCUAAUGAGUUUGCCGGAUGGGCAUUCCCAGAUAGUUCGAAAGAGCUAAAGAUGAUAGAGUUUGAGCAGCUCAAGCAGACAGAGGAUAUGAGUAUUGAUGAGUUUACUG